CCUACGGGGGCUGCAGUGGGGAAUAUUGGACAAUGGGCGAAAGCCUGAUCCAGCCAUUCCGCGUGUGUGAAGAAGGCCUUCGGGUUGUAAAGCACUUUCAGUGGGGAAGAAAGCCUUGGGGCUAAUACCCUCGAGGAAGGACAUCACCCACAGAAGAAGCACCGGCUAACUCCGUGCCAGCAGCCGCGGUAAUACGGAGGGUGCGAGCGUUAAUCGGAAUUACUGGGCGUAAAGCGCGCGUAGGCGGUCUGAUAAGCCGGUUGUGAAAGCCCCGGGCUCAACCUGGGAACGGCAUCCGGAACUGUCAGGCUAGAGUGCAGGAGAGGAAGGUAGAAUUCCCGGUGUAGCGGUGAAAUGCGUAGAGAUCGGGAGGAAUACCAGUGGCGAAGGCGGCCUUCUGGACUGACACUGACGCUGAGGUGCGAAAGCGUGGGUAGCAAACAGGAUUAGAUACCCUGGUAGUC
rnacentral:rRNA from 1 species